GUCUCCGUGGGCCCCGCCCCCUGCCAUCUCGUAUAUAAAAGCCCGAAUUCAGACCGGGGGAGAUGGUUUGUUGACACGAUAGUCUGCCGUGUUGUCUACUAGCUUUCAAGUUGUUAUUCCUUGUUCCAGCAACUCAUUUCCCGAUUUAUUGACCUGUAGCGCCGUGAUCAGAGCGAGCUUGGGCUUGGUUAGAAAACUGAUACUCAAAGAGAAUCUUUCCACCAGGAUGGUUUCUGGAAGAGCAUCGCCUUCAUCCCCUGUUGCCCAUCCGAUGCCUUCUCCCUUGUCUCACAAAACCUUGUCUCCAGGUGCACAUUAGGCUUUUUCCCCCCUGUCCUUUAUAGUUUUUUGUUUUAAUAAGCUUUAAGGUGAAAGCUUAAUAAACUUAAAGUGAAAGUCA